rnacentral:lncRNA from 1 species
CUUGAAUGAAAUGCCAUUAAAAAUUUCACAUAAUUUUUGAGGACACUUAAUAUGAGAAUCUUAAUGUUUACUUUGUGGAAUAAAGUCAUAAGAAAAGCAAAAAAAUGCUAAUGAAGGUAAAUAGGGUUAUAGAAGGACUUUUGACAGAUUUUUAGUUGCAUUAUUAAUUUUGGUUCUUAAAACCAUAAGCAAAGUUACGACAAAAAAAAAAAUAGAGAGUAGAUGUUCUUACCCAAUAUACCAACUUAGUAUUUUAGAAAUUUAAAUGGAGGUGUCAAGGAAUCUAGUCAUUAGUUGUCUAAAAUAGUAAAAGCAGGAUUGUGGUUCAUAAGGGGCCUCAUCCCAGCACACACAUCAGAUAUAUCUAUUUCAAGAGUAAGUAAAGAAGGUAUAUUUCUUAGGAAGGAAUUGGGCUCUGAGGAUAUCGCUCAGAGAGGUUGGAAGCUCUGCUUCAAAAUAUUCUCAGCUUUCUUAUUCCAGAUGAAACCUUGUCAUCCCUAGAGCAUAGAUGUCAUCCAUGGAAUUCAAGAUGGCCGCAUUCACACAUAGGUAGGAAGAGGCAGAAAGAGAUUAUAAAGAGGAAGGGGCACAGGUCAGGGGACAACAGCCCUAUAGGACAGUUUCUGAAAGUUGCGUUCUUCUUUUACCACACUGGCCAAGAAAAAAAGAAGUCAUAUGUUACUUCUAGUUGCCAAGGAAGACGAAAUUUUGCCUUUUCUUUUCUUUUUUUUUUUUUUAGCAUCCCAGUGCCCGGUUAAAAUUCUAUCGGAAGCAAAAUGGAUAUUUGAAGACAAACAACAGUCUCCACCAAAAAAGGAGGGAGGCAGAACUGGAGGGAGGAAAUUGAAAAGGAAUAAACAACUCCAGAGAAGUUAAUAUGCACCUGCUCAUGAAUGACUGGAAAAUAGUGUAAAUGUCAGCUUGACGGCUGCAGAAACUUGGUGCUGGGGAAGGCAACAGCUGACAGUGAUGAUUAGACACCAUGAAUUAAUAGUAGGAAGUCCAUAUGGUGAUACAGACAGAGAAUCUUCAUUCAGUUCAGAGAGUCUUAAUCAGCUCUGUCACUUAAUUGUUACAUGACUGUAUUCGCUAUACUAAGUGAUUGCUCUGACCUGUUUUCUUAGCUUUAAAA